rnacentral:lncRNA from 1 species
UUCAAGGCUGUGUUACCUGCAAGCCCGCCUGACCCAGAGAACAACAACGUCAGCAAUGAGCUCUUCUCCUCCCAGCACUGCUCCUUCUCAGGUCUCUCCCUGCCCCAGAACAGCCAGAUCUUGAAUAAUUUUUCCCUCGACGUCCUGACCUGCUGUUUUCUGAGUCGGGAAGCCUAACAGCCCUCGGCUGGACUCAACAGGCAGCGCCUCGACGUGGUUGCGUCCCUCCUGCUCCAUCCCUGGCUUCUCUGUAGCUGCUGGUACGUGAUCCUGGCUCGUGGACACUGGCUUCCAGCUUUCCUCCCGUAUGUGCUGCUGCAGCAGAAACCGGAUAGCUCACAGUCCUUCAGGAGAAGAGAAAGGAAGAAAAGGAAGGAACAGAACUGGCUAAAUCCUACUCGGGAGCUGCCAGGAGAAGCUGCAGCCGAGGGCAGGGUGCAAU